rnacentral:rRNA from 1 species
GACGAACGCUGGCGGCGUGCUUAACACAUGCAAGUCGAGCGGUAAGGCCCUUUCGGGGGUACACGAGCGGCGAACGGGUGAGUAACACGUGGGUGACCUGCCCUCAGCUCUGGGAUAUGCCUGGGAAACCGGGUCUAAUACCGGAUAUGACUCCAUGACGCAUGUUGUGGGGUGGAAAGCCUUGUGCGGCUGAGGAUGGGCCCGCGGCCUAUCAGCUUGUUGGUGGGGNGAUGGCCUACCAAGGCGACGACGGGUAGCCGGCCUGAGAGGGCGACCGGCCACACUGGGACUGAGACACGGCCCAGACUCCUACGGGAGGCAGCAGUGGGGAAUCUUGCGCAAUGGGCGAAAGCCUGACGCAGCGACGCCGCGUGA